AAAUAUUGUUAUAAAAUUAUGCUAUAGAAUUAAUAUUAUUUUGAUUAUAUAGUUUUGUGAAUAGGUGAUAAUUUUUUCUUUUUUCUUGAUUUGUUUCAGAUUAUUAUGUGAAAUAAACCAAUUUCUUGGAGAAGACGCUUCCUGCUCUGCUUUUAUUUGAUAUAUGUUACUGACUUCGCAUCUGUGCCACCUGCCCUGACCUUCUGAUAUCCAGACCACAAGUUGCCGUAUUCCUCCUGUGCUUCGAAUCUCCUCAGCCGCCUGUGUGGUCGAGUCGUGCCAGGGUAGGGACCUGGGUGCCGCCUGCCGCAGCAAGACCUUCCCGCUUUGUGGUGGGCUCUGGUGAAAACCAGCAGCACCUUAGACUCCGCUUCCUGGCUCAGCCCACUUCAUCUACCACACAGGUCCAGCAGAUCCACUACUACCCUGAGUGCUACAGCCUACUGCCGCUGAUCAUCCUUUCUGCGCAGGCGCAGUGUGAUUUUCACAUGCUCCGGGCGCCACUACAC